rnacentral:misc_RNA from 1 species
AACGCACAUUGCGCCCUCUGGUAUUCCGGGGGGCAUGCCUGUUCGAGCGUCAUUACAACCCUCAAGCAUUGCUUGGUAUUAGGUAUCGUCUUCGACCUUUUGGUUUAGAGACGCGCCUGAAAAUCAGCGGCGAAACGACCGGUGAUCGAGCGUAGUAAAACAUUGCUUCUCGCUCAAGAUCUACCUGGACGGUUUUAGCCGGAUAAACCCCAAUUAAUUUUUUCUAUGGUUGACCUCGGAUCAGGUAGGGAUACCCGCUGAACUUAA